AACACCAUGCAAGUCGAGCGGGCGAGGUUGCUUCGGUAACUGAGCUAGCGGCGGACGGGUGAGUAAAGCUUAGGAAUCUGCCUAUUAGUGGGGGACAACAUUCCGAAAGGGAUGCUAAUACCGCAUACGUCCUACGGGAGAAAGCAGGGGAUCACUUGUGACCUUGCGCUAAUAGAUGAGCCUAAGUCGGAUUAGCUAGUUGGUGGGGUAAAGGCCUACCAAGGCGACGAUCUGUAGCGGGUCUGAGAGGAUGAUCCGCCACACUGGGACUGAGACACGGCCCAGACUCCUACGGGAGGCAGCAGUGGGGAAUAUUGGACAAUGGGGGGAACCCUGAUCCAGCCAUGCCGCGUGUGUGAAGAAGGCCUUUUGGUUGUAAAGCACUUUAAGCGAGGAGGAGGCUUACCUGGUUAAUACCUGGGAUAAGUGGACGUUACUCGCAGAAUAAGCACCGGCUAACUCUGUGCCAGCAGCCGCGGUAAUACAGAGGGUGCGAGCGUUAAUCGGAUUUACUGGGCGUAAAGCGCGCGUAGGUGGUUAAUUAAGUCAAAUGUGAAAUCCCCGAGCUUAACUUGGGAAUUGCAUUCGAUACUGGUUAGCUAGAGUAUGGGAGAGGAUGGUAGAAUUCCAGGUGUAGCGGUGAAAUGCGUAGAGAUCUGGAGGAAUACCGAUGGCGAAGGCAGCCAUCUGGCCUAAUACUGACACUGAGGUGCGAAAGCAUGGGGAGCAAACAGGAUUAGAUACCCUGGUAGUCCAUGCCGUAAACGAUGUCUACUAGCCGUUGGGGGAUUUGAUCCUUUAGUGGCGCAGCUAACGCGAUAAGUAGACCGCCUGGGGAGUACGGUCGCAAGACUAAAACUCAAAUGAAUUGACGGGGGCCCGCACAAGCGGUGGAGCAUGUGGUUUAAUUCGAUGCAACGCGAAGAACCUUACCUGGCCUUGACAUAGUAGAGACUUUCCAGAGAUGGAUUGGUGCCUUCGGGAAUCUACAUACAGGUGC
rnacentral:rRNA from 1 species